UCAAUUAGACAUAUAUUCUAGUAUUAGACAGUUCAAAAAAUUGUCCUAAUCAAGUAGACAGUUCCCUCAUCAACUGACUAAGCUCCAAAAACAUUUUUUGGUUGUUUUAAUAAAAAAUUCAGAGAUUUCUCAAGGUUUUAAGUGUGUGUGUUAUUUAGUCAUACUACUUAUAAAAAUGCCUUUGUGUAUUUACAAUACACCGAUCAC
rnacentral:lncRNA from 1 species